ACUGGGCACGGUGGUGUAUGCCUGUAAUCCCAGCAAUUGGGGAGGCUGAGGCAGGAGGAUCAAGAGUUCAAAGCCAGCCUCAGCCACUUAGCAAGGCCCUAAGCAACGCAGAGAGACCCUGUCUCUC
rnacentral:sRNA from 1 species